rnacentral:rRNA from 1 species
AGAGUUUGAUCAUGGCUCAGAACGAACGCUGGCGGCGUGCCUAACACAUGCAAGUCGAGCGCGAAUGGAGCAAUCCUAGUAGAGCGGCGCACGGGUGCGUAACACGUGGAUAAUCUGCCUGGAAGACCGGAAUAACCUGCCGAAAGGCUGGCUAAUACCGGAUAAGCCCACAGGGACUUCGGUCCUCGAGGGAAAAGGUG